GACGAACGCUGGCGGCGUGCCUAAUACAUGCAAGUCGAACGCAGUGGGGACGGGUGAGUAACAAGUGGGUAACAUGCCAUCAGAGGGGAAAACACGUGGAAACAGGUGCUAAACCGAUACUGAUGGAUGGACCCGCGGUGCAUUAGCUAGUUGGGGAGGUAACGGCUCACCAAGGCCACGAUGCAUAGCCGGCCUGAGAGGAUGAUCGGCCACACUGGGACUGAGACACGGCCCAGACUCCUACGGUAGGCAGCAGUAGGGAAUCUUCGGCAAUGGACGAAAGUCUGACCGAGCAACGCCGCGCGAGUGAAGAAGGUUUUCGGAUCGUAAAACUCUGUUGUUAGAGAAGCGGUAUCUAACCAGGAAGCCACGGCUAACUACGUGCCAGCAGCCGCGGUAAUUC
rnacentral:rRNA from 1 species